GUUCAUGCUCUGUCUCUCUCUGUCUCAAAAAUAAAUAAACGUUAAAAAAAAUUUUUUUAAAUAAAGGGUUCAGUACUCUGAGUAUAAAGCAGUUUUGUGAAAUGUGCAAAAUAAAGUUGCGGUGAUUUUCAAACUCGGGCUUCCCGUGAUUGUCUGAGCUACUGGGAGAAUAGGAGCACGGAGAAUACGGGACUCAGACCAUUGCAGUGGUGCAAUUUGGCGUUUAAUGCUCCUUCGGAAGGUAUUUAUUGAGCAUCCAGAUGUGCCAGGCACUGUUGGAGGAGCUGGAGAAGGAGGGAUGAGAAGGACGGACAUGGUGCCCAGUCUCACAGAGCUUGGCCAGACGAACUGGACGGUAAGAUCUAAACAAAUAAUCUCAGGCGAGCAAUGCUGUGGAAAAGGUAAACAGCAUUUGCAUUUUAUGUUGCAGCUGGUAACAAAUUAUCACACACUUUGUGCCCUGGGACAAGGCAGAUUUAUGGUCUUACAGUCCUGGAAGUCAGAAGUCUAAAAUCAAGGUGUCGGUGUUCCUUCCGGAGGCUCUGGGAGAAUCUGUUUCCUUUCCUUUUUCUGCUUCCCGGACUGGGGGCAUUCCUUAGCUCCGGGCCCCUUUCCAGAAGUGUCCCUACCCUGGCUUGGGUCAUCUGUUUUAAUCACCUUGCCGUCCCCACCCCAGUGGUGAGGGAGGGGUUCCUGCCCCAGGGAUGGUGGGGGAGGACGACACUGGACAGACGAGACCAACAAGCAGGCUCUCCGCCUCAUUCCCUCGCAGUCAGAGGUUGGGGGACGCUGCAGGCCACGCAGGGGCCCCACGAGGGUCACACUCAGGACCAGAGUGAACAAACCGGGCUGUGAGAGGCGGGCUCUAUAGCAGCAAGAGGGUGAGGUGGCCCGGGUCCCACGGGAGGGUGUGACGGGCUUGUGUGGAGAAUUCCACGAGCCGGGCGGGAACUGGAACCCCGCGCUCAGGGGUCAGCAGGCCCCGAGCUUCUGUGUGACGAGGAGGGGUGUUUGGCUGGGGGACCUUCUCCACAGGAGCCGAGUGGGGAGAGGAACCUGCGAGGAGACCACUGACAGCCUCCCACGGCACCCGGGGUCAGGGCAGCACAGGAUACUGAUUCUUUUUUUUAUGUCUUACACAGCAUUGUCAUAUUUCCUCCUAUGGGCAGGACGUGGAUGAAGCAAAAUUUCAUCCCUUGUUUGACUCCAGAGCUGAUGCUCUAACCACCAGGCCACACAGCCUCUCCAGCACUGGGGGUUGUGGCGGCCUGUGUGCAAAGAUGGCCGCCAAGGACUCACAUCUGCCAGCUCACUUGUUCUGGCGACCUGCGCUCCCACACUGAGUCUGAGUUGGCCCUAAGCCUCAGUUUCACCAAGAGAACGUGGUGACAGGGACACCACCCUUGUUCCGAAGGGGCCUAAGAGGGCCCGGCAGCUUCCCCUCGUGUCGCCUUGGCAGCGAGCUGCUGUGUAGAGUCCAACUGCUUCCUGUGGAGCGAGUCCACACAGAGAGGCCCUGGGGCAUGAGACCCCUCCUUCGCGGGGGGGGGGGGGGGGGGAAGGCCACAGGAAGGACCACCAAGUUCUCGGCCAUGCAAGCGAAGAAGCCACCAUGGAGUGUUCUGGCAAAAUAGAGCUCCCAGAAGCUGUAGCCCCAGCCCACCUCGCGAGGUGGAGAAAAUGGCAGCUGAAGCUAGUCAGUCCGCGGCGUAAGGGGGGGUAGUGUGAGAGAAUACGGUCGUGGUUGUUGAAGCCACUUUUGGGGUGAUUUGUUACUCCAACAGGUAAUUAACCCCCUGGUUUAAAUCUUACCUAAAUCCGCUCCAUUAGCAAAGCGUCAACACUUCAAACAAGUGCUAUGGUGAAGAAAAUGACCCCAGUCUCUCUGUGUGUGGGAACACUAGGAUACAGAGCCUCCCCCAACACUAUUGAGCAGGCUGUGUCCGUGUGGCUGGUGGGACCUCAGGCAAAGCAGAUGACAAAAAUAUCUUACAGGAGGUGUUUUCUUAACGGAGACCAUGCAUCCAACAUGGAAACUCCAGCCUGGUUUUCCACAGGUGCUCCGGGGGCCGGGGGCGCUGGUUCUCAUCUCCACAGCCUCUGGCUCUGCCCGUAUUGUGUCCGUAUCUGCCCUGUCUAUCUGGCCAGUGGACUUGAGCUGAAGUAGGACAUCACUGAGUGAUGAGAAAACAUUUCAAAGACAUGAUUAGUCGAGGCACCCUGCAGGUGUCUGAAAAGUUGUCCCGGUGGGAUCUGCAGGGCCCAGCUUAAAAGAACUGGCACAGAGGGGACGUUGCUGAGCUACUGACCUUGACCUGCAAUAUGCAACAGCUGCAGCCUCUUGCUUCUGAAUGCACAAUUAACAGUUCAUUCCUGAGCACUUUCCUGUAGGGACUGAGAACCAAAUAAUCCCCCGAUGUAAGCCAUUUGACAUCCAAGUGCUUACACAACGCAACUGACAAAGAUUAUAUGUUGAAAUCAUUGCCAAGCAAUGUCUUUUUUUUUUUUUUUCUUAAAGAGAGAGCGCACAAGCAGGGGAGGGGGCAGAGAGAGAAUCCCAAGCAUGUUGUGUGGCACCGCACCUGAUUUGGGACUUGAUCCCGCGGCCCUGGGAUCAUGAUCCGAGCCAAAAUCAAGAGUCAGAUGCUCCACCGACUGAGCCACCCAGGCAUCCUAGCGACAUCUUUUUCUUUUUUUUUUUAAAUACUCUAACGAACUCCCCUCCCCGCCCCGCCCCCGUCCCCAGACUCCUCUGUCCUGUCUCACGAAGCAACUCCAUAUACUUGGGAAUUUCCAGCAACUUGGAAGUGGGAAUUGCACGUCCUGACAGGUGGCAGUGACUGGAGCAGACACCCCAAGCCGGGUCCUUCUUGGGGAUCUUGUCCGAGCCCUCCCGAGAUGGAUUAGCCAGUGAGACUUUUGGCACCCACUUGAUUGCACCUUUUUCAGGCGAAGUGAGGGAUGGAGAAGUCUGCACCAUGAUGCUCCGUGACCUUCAGGACGCACGGUCAGAGCACUAACAGGAAGACACUGCACAUUGCUCCGGAGGAUUGUGGUGUCGCUUGGAGAACGUCUGUGUGCGACCCCGAUGUCAAAGCAUCCUGCCAGGGUAAGAGCAAGGCGCACUCGCCAGCGUGGGGGAGCCCAAGGCCUCGCGUGGCACCUGUUUGCAUUUUUCCCACCAGCCUCUGCCUCCCUUUCUGCCACACCUCCCCGGUGGCAAAGUGUGCCUCCCUCGUUAAUUUCCACAAGAAGUCCACAAGACGGGAAGAAGACUUUUGGCUUCAUUUCGCUUUGUUUCUUCGUAAAUGGUUUUGUUGACACGUAAUUGCACACGAUUCACCUGUUUAACGUGUACAGUUCAGGGCGUUGGGUGUAUUCACACACGUGUGCAACCAGCACACCACCGUCUGUUUUAGAGGAUUUUUGUCACCUCAAAAAAACCUCCGAACCCUUUAGCUAUUAUCCCCCAACCUUCCUCCAACCCCCCGCCCCAAACCCCACCCCCAACCUAGUCGUAAGCAACCAUGAAUCUACUUCCUGUUCCUGUAGAUUUCCCCGUCCUGGGCUUUUGUGCGAAUGGAAUCCUAGAACAUGUGAUCUUUUCGUGACUGGUUCCUGUCACGCAUCAUGAACAGUUACGUGGUUCAUCCACGUUGUAUCACAUAUCAGCACUUCAUUCCUUUGUACGAUGGGAUAAUACUCUGUUGUAUACUUUGGCA